rnacentral:misc_RNA from 1 species
GAGAAUUUGUGGUUGGAGUUGGCGUGGUGUGGUGGAUGCAAAAAUUGUGGUUUUGAUGUGUUAAACACGAUGGUUUUAUCUACUCAUGAGUUAAUUUUUGGAUGGUUUUUUAUUCAUUUUUCACUUCUUUGGACUUAAAUGGUGAUAAAGAUAGAUUUGAAUUUCUAAUGGUGAUCCUACAAGUUCAAAUUUGGGCUUGCUUCAGCAUAAAUUUGUUAGUUUUAGUGAUUGUUUUGAGCACUUUAAAUUACCUGAUAGUUGGGAUGUGUGUGUGCUGUGGAGUUAUGUAAGAAUUAGAACUGGUUGGAUACGAUUUUGUAUUCUUAUUGUUUUUGUGUGAGAGUGUUUUUGGUUUAAGCUAUAUGGCUUUCCAUCAUUCCUGUUGCGCAGUUCCAUUCUUUUAUAAGUUAUUUUUCUGCUUAAGGCUGGUUCAUCUAAUUCCUGUUGUAGUAGAAAUAUUCUCAAACAUAUAUAUAAUUCAAAAUUACCAUUCGUACAAAAUAUUUUCCUUGGCUAAUGAUAUCUUAUAUGGUAUAUAUCACCUGCUGAAUGCACUAAAAUGUUGAGAUGUGAGACUUAACUGUUUCAUUUCUAAUUUGGUCUCUUGUGGCAGUCAUUAUGUGGUCAUCUUAUCAAAUUUGCUUCUCCAUUUCCUGGCUAAUAGUGGAUAUCAGUUGUGGCAAUAAGUUGGGCUUGUAAAUUUUCAAGUGUUACAAGCAAUUUUUCCAGUUAUCAGCAUCUUUGAGCAGCAUCAUUUUUGCCAUUUUGGAUUCUGUAAUUUUCUUCUCACAGAUGCCAAAAUUCCAAUUUUGAGUGGUGUUCGUCUGCUAUUAAUGCGUUACUAUGCAUGACAACUUGUUUCGUAUUUUGUUACAUUUGAGUUGUUCACAUGAAGUUUGAGCAAGUGGUUGCGAUGUUGACACUGUUUUUGAUUCUCUGCAUACAGCCAUAAUGAAUGUGUGCUGUGUUUUUUAUACUCAGGGAUUGGGGGCAAAGAAAUUGACUAGCUAUGUCUUCAUCUUUUUCAGUUCUUCCUACUUCUCUUGAAGAUAAGUACUCCAAGU